rnacentral:rRNA from 1 species
UACGGGGGGAGCAAGCGUUAUUCGGAUUCACUGGGCGUAAAGGGUGCGCAGGCGGCCGAGUGUGUGAGGCGUGAAAGCCCGGGGCUUAACCCCGGAAUUGCACCUCAAACUACACGGCUAGAGCAUUGGAGAGGGUAGCAGAAUUCAUGGUGUAGCAGUGAAAUGCGUAGAUAUCAUGAGGAAUACCAGAGGCGAAGGCGGCUACCUGGACAAUUGCUGACGCUCAGGCACGAAAGCGUGGGGAGCAAAAGGG